CAGGGUUGUGACAUGUUGAUCCAGGCAUGCCUAGGCUUGAUUUCAAUGUCAGAAAAUGGUGGCUUUAAGAUUUUUGCAGUUUGCGUUUCAAAACUUCUGAACUUCAGCCCCUUAUCUGUUAAAUCUCACAGAAUAUUUGAGUAGAUGAAUCUCACAAUCAUUCUAGCAUACAGAGAAAUGCUGCAGGACACAGCAAAGGUCUCCCCCUCCCCAUACACACAACACACAAUCUGCCUGUUGUGAAUUUGGAGCUUUCAUUUUUCAGGAUCUUCUCUCUCCCUAAAGUGGUGCUUUGAUUGGCAGGAACAUCGAUUGAAUGACCGUCACUGCAGUGGAGAGUGACACAGCAAUGUGGUCCAUAGUGAACAUCUGUAGGGCCACUUGACCACCCAUCAGUUCAGAUAUCCUAAAGCAUUUCAUGGAUUCCACUGAUGAUAAUUAGGUGAGAGCAUCAAAGAUGACAAAUGUAACACCCUGGAUGCAUAAUAAAAUUGCGUUUUAACUA